rfam:Solanum tuberosum cultivar DM 1-3 516 R44 scf00300_17, whole genome shotgun sequence.
AAGAGAAGAGUUUGUUAAGUUAGCCAAGAUGGCUUGCCUGAAAUCAAGGACACAUGACCAUCAUAUAUAAUAUGGUGCAUGUAAAGACCUUUCUAAGAGGUUUAGGCAAGUCAUCCUUGGCUACCAAAUAAAACCCAUCUCA